GUCUAAAUAACACGCAUCUUUGAGUUUGUGUGUGUGUGUGUCUGUCUAUAUAUGUGUGAGCAUGCUGUUGUGUUGCUCUGUGUGGCUCGGCCUCUAUAGAUGUGUGUGUGUUUCCCUGCAAAUACCCACGUGUGCUGUGCAUGUCUUUCUCUAGAUCUUCGUGUUUAUGUGUAUUGGCCGGGGGGGGGGGGGGGCGCUGUCACCGUAGGGUCGUGUGUCCACCCCUGUUCGUUUGGCUUGUUUGAAUGUGUGUGAGUGCACGCGGUCUGCAGAUGCCUGUGUGUGAUGUGGACGUCUCUCUGGGUCUUUGUGUGUCUGUGGGCUCGUGGGCCUUUCUCUGUGCGUCUCCCCUCCUCUAUUCAGCCCUGCUGGGGAGCCAGGAGUGAGUCCCUGCAGCCCGGUCUACUGAAGGCCGUCUGGCUGGCAGACAGCAAGGGCUCCACACCCCUCCUCUCCUGCUCAAGCAGCGGCUGUGCUAAUCACUGGGUUAUAUGCAGAUGGCAAAUGUGGGCUGCCAGGCUUGGAGGAGGGACUGUGGAGGGGGUGUGCAGAUGAGCAGACACGAAGGAGCAUGAAGACAAUUUAAAGGCAGAAAGGGGAAAACGAGCCUGCUUGGUUUUGGAGUUCGAGGUGCGGGCUUCUCUCCAGAGGCAUGAAUCCGAUGGAGAGGAUGUGAUGUCUGUGGUAGCUUCCCUCUCAUCAAGCCAGAGUCUUACGAUCACAGGAUUCUAGAAGGCUAGAAUUUUAGAUCUGCGGGAUUCUGGAAUCUCAGCCUCCUGCAGCUCCAGCCUCUUAGAACCACGUUCACAGACUCUAAUCCUCCGGGGAUCUUAGGACCUUCAGACACAGAUCUUCUCUUUCUCCCCAUUCUCUUGCUUUUCUUUGUAUAGAAUCAUGGCCAAGGAAUGACCUUGAAAGUUCAUCCCGUCCACCCUCUGGCUCUGGGCUGGGCAGCGGAAAGAGAGAGAGAGGCCCAUCAGCUGAGACAUUCUUGGGCGACAUUGAACUGGAAUCUUCCGUUGGCAAGGACUUGUCUCCUGAAUGAUCUGGGCUCUCAUAUUACCCCUGUCACCUUCCGCUGGGACUGCGUUCUCCUCACAGACAAAGGCGCCUAUGUUCCCAGGAUAUGUUUUCGGCCAUUCAGGAGUGGGCAUAAUAGCCUGCAGGUGUGAGGAGAGCCAGGGUGGGGCUCCUCUGAGGCCCUUGGCCGUGGGGACUCAGCAGCCCAGCCUGCGGUGGAGGGGGUGGCCAACCAGCCACCUUCCUCUCAUGGCUUCUUAGGAGGGCAGCCGAAAAGGCUAGUCCUAUCGCCAGGAGCCAUGGACUGUCUCUGAGGGAGGACACUCUACCGUACUUUGAUCUCCUCCAGGACUCACCCAAACUUCUGCGCGUGGCCGCUUUUCAGGCCCUGACUGCUAGCCAUCCCAUCUCUCCCUCCACGUGUGUCCAGCCACACUGACCUCCCUCCCCGCCUCGAAUCUGGUUGACUUCUUCGUGCCUCCAAAUCGGCGUGGGGCUUGCUCCUCUCUGCCUCUUCGUCGUGAUGCAAACUCUUACCCAUCCACGGAAGGGAAGGUCGCACUCGGUUUUCAGUGCCAUGAGAGAGAGAGAGUUUGACUUACUACUUUAUUUCCCGGAACCUACAACAAUAUUUGGCUCACUGUAGGUAUUCGAUCAAUGUUUGUUGAACGACUAACAGGUCGGAUGCAUCCUGCAGAAUUGCCCUUCUGAAGCCUCUGUUCCUCGCCUCCUUAUAGGUGUCUCCCUGGGCCCCCACCCCUCCCCUGGGAUUACCCGUGGCCCAGAAUUUACCACCCUAGGUCAAAGGUCUUUGCUUACUUUGUCUUCUUCACCAGACCAGGAACCCCUUGAAGUUAAUGACCACGUCUGCUCAAUCUUUCUGCCGACAGCGUCCAGUUCAGAGCCUGCACCCAGCAGGUGCCCAGUAAACGUGGAGCCGUUGCCAGCAGCCCAGCUUGGUGACUUGAAAUCCCCUGUUGGUCCCAACUGUGAGCACUGGUCCAAGCUGUUGGCAACAUCUGCUCUAGAGUCUCAUUUGCAAUUAUACGUUCCCAGGCUCUUGCCACUUAAUAUUUAAUAACCAGGCGGCUGGCCUUCUCUGGCAGCCACUUAAGCCCCUGAUUGCCUCUUGUGUGAACUUGGCCCUGAGUGAGGCAGGGACCACACUGGGGUUAACUGUGAAGCCUGUAUCUUGGGUCUGGGGCCAGCAUCAGGCCAGGGCCUUAGGGACAGGAGGAAGGAACGCCUGUUGGCUUGAGGCUCCUGGAUGACCUUACCAGGCGAAGCAGGGGUGCGUUUGCUCUAACUGGCUCCACCUCUCCUCCCCGCCCCGUAAGGCUGUGCCUGCUCAUGCCCUCGUGAGCCAGGGAGGGGGGCAGAGGAAAAAUGUCAACGGGACCUUCCCUGACUCACAUCCGAGCUGAGCCAGGAGGAAGAAAGGGGGAUUCCGCCUGGGCCAUAUCCCAGCAGGAAAGACCAGCUAAAAGCUCGGGUGUCCGUUCACCCUGGGAUUGCACCAGGCUGCACUGCCCGCGAUCGGAUCUCUGGGACUCCACGGACUCGGUGAGGGCAAGUCUGUCGUCAUCGCUCCAUUUUCUGGAUGAGGAACACUGAGGCCCAGCGAUGCUAACUAGGAGGACUGGAACGUGGUGCAUGGCCGCUGAGACCCGUCGCCUGCUCCUGCUUCCUGCUUGUCUAGGAAGGGAAGGAUGAGGGCAGGUCGUGGCGGCCCUGUGAUAACAUUGGCUCCGUCAGGACCGGGAUGUGGUCUGUUUUGUCCCCUGCUGGGUCCCCAGAGCCUACAACGAUGCCCGGCACAGAGUAGGGGCUCAAAAUAAGCGGUUGUUGGACUACUAUAAAUAGCAAGAAUCUCAUUCUAUCAUCA